rnacentral:rRNA from 1 species
GAUGAACACUGGCGGCGUGCCUAAUACAUGCAAGUCGAGCGAAUGGAUUAAGAGCUUGCUCUUAUGAAGUUAGCGGCGGACGGGUGAGUAACACGUGGGUAACCUGCCCAUAAGACUGGGAUAACUCCGGGAAACCGGGGCUAAUACCGGGUAACAUUUUGAACCGCAUGGUUCGAAAUUGAAAGGCGGCUUCGGCUGUCACUUAUGGAUGGACCCGCGUCGCAUUAGCUAGUUGGUGAGGUAACGGCUCACCAAGGCAACGAUGCGUAGCCGACCUGAGAGGGUGAUCGGCCACACUGGGACUGAGACACGGCCCAGACUCCUACGGGAGGCAGCAGUAGGGAAUCUUCCGCAAUGGACGAAAGUCUGACGGAGCAACGCCGCGUGAGUGAUGAAGGCUUUCGGGUCGUAAAACUCUGUUGUUAGGGAAGAACAAGUGCUAGUUGAAUAAGCUGGCACCUUGACGGUACCUAACCAGAAAGCCACGGCUAACUACGUGCCAGCCGCCGCGGUAA